rnacentral:rRNA from 1 species
UACAUGGGGUGCAAACGUUGCUCGGAAUUACUGGGCGUAAAGCGUGCGCAGGCGGUUCGUUGUGUCGGCGGUGAAAGCCCCGGGCUCAACCUGGGAAUGGCCGUUGAAACUGGCGAACUGGGAGUGUGGCAGAGGGGGGUGGAAUUCCGCGUGUAGCAGUGAAAUGCGUAGAGAUGCGGAGGAACACCGAUGGCGAAGGCAGCCCCCUGGGCUAACACUGACGCUCAGGCACGAAAGCGUGGGGAGCAAACAGG